ensembl:lncRNA
CUAGCCUCACAGCAGAGCGAGUCUGGUCCAUGCCUCAGUGAUAUCAUAAACUGCUAUAUGUCACAGAUCUUAGUGACCUGUCUUCAUAGUCAGACCCCAGGGCUAUAAAUCUGAUGCUGAGGAUCAACUGGGUCUGCCAAACAUAGUUUGAGAAUUUUAGUGAUCCAAACCAGAGAUUCAUACCUGAAAUGUAACAUGGACAACAGCAAAUCAUUUCAGAUCUGCAUUAUGGAGCAUCUGCCGGCGGUAGUACACAGAAUGGGGCUCUGAGGUCAAACUGCCCGAGUUCAAAUCCUGUGUCCUUGGAAUAGAAACUCAAAUCUGUCAAAGGAUUUUGCAAGAAAGAACUCUGUGAAGAAAUGACUAUUCCUCAUUGAAAGCUGUAAAUUUCUCCGCAAGGGGAUCUUUUUGACCCAGGGAUUGAGCCCAGGUCUCCUGGAUUUCAGGCAGAUUCUUUACCAUCGGAACCACCAGGGAAGCCACAGGGUUAAAGCAGCUUACAAAUGAGGUGUUCCAGAAAUGCAUCUGAGGAAUGUCAAUGAAGAAACAUGAGUCUCCUCUCAGCUCAGCUCCUCAGGCUGGACCAGCUUGCCCUUUAUCCCUUAAGAACCCAGGGAUCAAGCCACACUUUUCUCCUGCCUGCUGCCGAAUUCUACCUGGAUUUCUCUCAAGACUUAAGAAGCAAUACAGUAAUUUCUCAGUUUACACAAUAGUUAGGUUCCUAUGGGCAUAGGUUAACUUGUAAAUACUUAAUCUAAGAAAUAAUUUUCUCUUAAUAAAAGGCAAGGGAUAUGUUCUAGAAGUUAGUUUUUUUCCUGUUUCAUAUUAAUUGGAAGGAUAAACAGUUAAUGGAAAAAGGUUAAUUGUAUAAGAGUGACCAAAAAGAAAUCAUUAAUAAUAAUGUCUAAUUGAAUUAUAGACUACGUGAACUGACAAACAGUGGCUGCCUGUUAAAUGCCUCCACGUGGCAAUUCUUACAUGUGAAGUCUUUGUCCACGUUUUGGAAGUGAUGUCCAAGUUUUGCACUUUCUUUAAUCUUGGGAGGAUUUUAAUGAACUAAUCUGAAUCUAUCAAUACCUGUAUUUCACUCACCUUUUGUAAGACAGUCUGACAACUUCCAAUUUCACAUAGACAAGUUUUCG